GCAGGCCUAACACAUGCAAGUCGAACGGUAACAGGAAACAGCUUGCUGUUUCGCUGACGAGUGGCGGACGGGUGAGUAAUGUCUGGGAAACUGCCUGAUGGAGGGGGAUAACUACUGGAAACGGUAGCUAAUACCGCAUAACGUCGCAAGACCAAAGAGGGGGACCCUCGGGCCUCUUGCCAUCGGAUGUGCCCAGAUGGGAUUAGCUUGUUGGUGGGGUAACGGCUCACCAAGGCGACGAUCCCUAGCUGGUCUGAGAGGAUGACCAGCCACACUGGAACUGAGACACGGUCCAGACUCCUACGGGAGGCAGCAGUGGGGAAUAUUGCACAAUGGGCGCAAGCCUGAUGCAGCCAUGCCGCGUGUAUGAAGAAGGCCUUCGGGUUGUAAAGUACUUUCAGCGGGGAGGAAGGGAGUAAAGUUAAUACCUUUGCUCAUUGACGUUACCCGCAGAGAGAAGCACCGGCUAACUCCGUGCCAGCACCGCGGUAAGACGGAAGGGUGCAAGCGUUAAUCGGAAUUACUGGGCGUAAAGCGCACGCAGGCGGUUUGUUAAGUCAAUGUGAAAUCCCCGGGCUCAACCUGGGAACUGCAUCUGAUACUGGCCAAGCUUGAGUCUCGUAAAGGGGGGUAAAAUUCCAGGGGAACGGUGAAAUGGCUAAAAUCUGAAGAAUACCGGGGGGCAAAGGAGCCCGCUGAACAAA
rnacentral:rRNA from 1 species